rnacentral:tRNA from 1 species
AGAUCCAUUCUCUCGCAACGUAGAGCACCUGCAUGGCAUGCAGGGGGUCAGGAGUUCGAGUCUCCUUGGCUCCA